rnacentral:siRNA from 1 species
GGGACCUCAAGAAUACAGAAGAAG